UACAGAGGUCUCAAGCGUUGUUCGGAUUCAUUGGGCGUAAAGGGUGCGUAGGCGGCGAGGCAAGUCUGGUGUGAAAUCCCGGGGCUCAACCCCGGAACUGCACUGGAUACUGCUUUGCUAGAGUACUGGAGAGGGAACUGGAAUUUACGGUGUAGCAGUGAAAUGCGUAGAUAUCGUAAGGAACAUCAGUGGCGAAGGCGACUUCCUGGACCAAUACUGACGCUCAGGUGCGAAAGCGUGGGGAGCAAACAGG
rnacentral:rRNA from 1 species